rnacentral:rRNA from 1 species
GAUGAACGCUAGCUACAGGCUUAACACAUGCAAGUCGAGGGGCAGCAUGGUCUUAGCUUGCUAAGGCUGAUGGCGACCGGCGCACGGGUGAGUAACACGUAUCCAACCUGCCGUCUACUCUUGGCCAGCCUUCUGAAAGGAAGAUUAAUCCAGGAUGGGAUCAUGAGUUCACAUGUCCGCAUGAUUAAAGGUAUUUUCCGGUAGACGAUGGGGAUGCGUUCCAUUAGAUAGUAGGCGGGGUAACGGCCCACCUAGUCAACGAUGGAUAGGGGUUCUGAGAGGAAGGUCCCCCACAUUGGAACUGAGACACGGUCCAAACUCCUACGGGAGGCAGCAGUGAGGAAUAUUGGUCAAUGGGCGAUGGCCUGAACCAGCCAAGUAGCGUGAAGGAUGACUGCCCUAUGGGUUGUAAACUUCUUUUAUAAAGGAAUAAAGUCGGGUAUGCAUACCCGUU